CAAAAACCGAACACGUACUCCAUGUUAAGUUUGUAAAGUCCAAACCCGUACAGAGUAUUAUUCAUUCAUUUUAGUUUCAUUCUCGAUUUCAAACCUAGGUUUAGGAACAAGGGCGUAUUCAUUCAUUUUAAUUUCAUUCUCGAUUUUGAACCCGGGUUUAGGAACAAGGGUCCAUAAAAGGAAAACGGGGUAAGCCCCGAUGCCUACUAAAGGAAAGGAUGCAAAAUCCUGGCGCUCAAACUGUAAAGAGCAAGUAUGGCGGAAGUGGAGAAGGAAGAAGGAAGCCCUCCGUUUUUCGUGGCAGUUCAUGUCGGCGCCGGAUUCCAUGCUCCUUCCAACGAGAAGCCUCUCAGAUCCGCCAUGAAUCGAGCUUGCCUUGCUGCUGCCGCCAUUCUUCGCAUGGACUCUGGUGAAUGUGUUGAUGCAGUUGAAGCAGCAAUUCGAGUUUUGGAGGAUGAUCCCAGCACAAAUGCUGGCCGUGGCUCAAAUUUGACAGAGGAUGGCCAUGUUGAAUGUGAUGCUAGCAUUAUGGAUGGUGACUCUGGGGCAUUUGCUGCUGUUGGAGCAGUUCCAGGUGUUCGAAAUCCCAUCCAAGUUGCCGCUUGCUUAAUCAAGGAACAAAAGAUGGGACCUUCAUUGCUUGGCCGAAUGCCACCUACCUUCUUAGUUGGUGAAGGUGCUCAUAAGUGGGCAAAAUCAAAGAGCAUUACCUGUACUGACACAGUAACAGAAGCUGAAAAGUGGUUAGUAACUGAAAGAACCAGAUUACAAUGGUGCAAGUAUAAAGCAAUGCUUGAUGCUGCCAAGACACAGAUAGGAGCAAUGCUUCCUAGCAGUAGAUCUCAGAAAAAUGAGUUAUUAUUUGGGAUUGAGGAUGUUGAGUCCUCUACAUUGGGGGCAAUAGAAGAAGACUGCAUUAUGGACACUGUUGGAGUCAUAUGUAUUGAUCGUGUUGGACAAGUUGCCUCUGGAGCCUCCAGUGGUGGUAUUGCAAUGAAGGUGAGUGGACGAGUAGGAUUAGCAGGCAUGUAUGGAUCUGGUUGUUGGGCAUCCUCGAAGGGUCCCUUUGGAGCUCCAUUUCUUGUAGGCUGUUGCACUACUGGAGCAGGAGAGUAUUUGAUGAGAGCUUUUGCUGCCAGAGAAUGCUGCACAUCAUUGUCAUUGUAUUAUAUCUUGACCUUUUUUGUCCACAGCUUGAAUAUUGAUGAGCUAGCAUGUAGCAUUUAUAUUUUUAGUAUGUUCUCUAGAGGACUUGCAGUUGCUUUUACGUUGAAUCUAAUGCUUGAUUAGUAAUAUAUCAAAUUCAAGAGGACAAAUGUUGGCUCUUUUUCUUUCAUUCUUUCUUCAUUGUUGUUUUUAAUAAUGUCACUACUAUUGUUGGCUAGCCAUUUUCCUUGUAGACCAGAUGGGGCUGUGUACUAUUUUAGUCUGCUUUGUUCCUAUUAAGAGGCUUAUGCUAGCAAUUUUGACUACUUUCUGUUGGGAAGUAUUUAAAGUUGCUUGUGAAAAUAAUCUUUUUAAGUUGGUCCCCACUUUGAUUUUUAUUUUAUAACUGGCAGUUUGAAUGCCAGAUCAUAUCCGAACUUGUGGCUGCUGUAUUGCCUGUAUUGGAGACUCUAGGUGUUGCUUAUUCUUAGCCACCUCAUUGAUGGUAUUUUUGGAGUAUAUUCUAUCUUGAUUUAUGAUCCUUGUUAAAAAAAAUAACAUCAAAUUUCUGGAAAAUUUCGGUCACAGGCAGGCCCGGCUUCUGCUUGUAUCAAAAUCCUUCGUUUGGUAGUUCAGGCUGGUACACAACAGGAUGCCGAUGGCAGUGCUGGGAUCCUCCUCGUCCAAGCUGAUGCUCCUCAGGGUCCUAAUAAUACACCAGAGCUGAAAGCAGUGGAGAUUGCUGCUGGAUAUUCAUCACAGUCAUUUGGGAUAGGAUACUUUGGAAGCUCAAUGGCAAAGCCCAAGGUUUCAAUUUUACGGAACAAGAAACUGCAGACCAUGAAAGGGGUAGACCACUUUGAAGCCAGAAUCAAUGU